CCUACGGGCGGCAGCAGUGAGGAAUAUUGGUCAAUGGACGGAAGUCUGAACCAGCCAUGCCGCGUGCAGGAAGACGGCUCUAUGAGUUGUAAACUGCUUUUGUACAAGGGUAAACCUGAAUACGUGUAUUCAGCUGAAAGUACUGUACGAAUAAGGAUCGGCUAACUCCGUGCCAGCAGCCGCGGUAAUACGGAGGAUCCAAGCGUUAUCCGGAUUUAUUGGGUUUAAAGGGUGCGUAGGCGGAUUGAUAAGUUAGAGGUGAAAUGUCCGCGCUUAACUCGGGAACUGACUCUAAUACUGUUGAUCUAGAGCGUGGGUGAGGUAGGCGGAAUGUAUGGUGUAGCGGUGAAAUGCUUAGAGAUCAUACAGAACACCGAUUGCGAAGGCAGCUUACCAAUCUAUAUCUGACGUUGAGGCACGAAAGCGUGGGUAGCAAACAGGAUUAGAUACCCGAGUAGUC
rnacentral:rRNA from 1 species